rnacentral:rRNA from 1 species
UACGUAGGGGGCAAGCGUUGUCCGGAUUUAUUGGGCGUAAAGAGCGUGUAGGCGGCUUGGCAAGUCUGCUGUGAAAACUUGAGGCUCAACCUCGAGCUGUCGGCGGAAACUGCUUGGCUAGAGUCCGGAAGAGGAGAGUGGAAUUCCUGGUGUAGCGGUGGAAUGCGCAGAUAUCAGGAGGAACACCGAUAGCGAAGGCAGCUCGCUGGGACGGUACUGACGCUGAGGCGCGAAAGCGUGGGGAGCAAACAGG